rnacentral:rRNA from 1 species
UACGUAGGGUGCAAGCGUUAUCCGGAAUUAUUGGGCGUAAAGAGCUCGUAGGCGGUUUGUCGCGUCUGCUGUGAAAACUGGAGGCUCAACCUCCAGCUUGCAGUGGGUACGGGCAAACUAGAGUGCGGUAGGGGAGAUUGGAAUUCCUGGUGUAGCGGUGAAAUGCGCAGAUAUCAGGAGGAACACCGGUAGUGCGAAGGCGGGUCUCUGGGCCGUAACUGACGCUGAGGAGCGAAAGCAUGGGGAGCGAACAGG